rnacentral:lncRNA from 1 species
UUAAUGUAUGGUUACAUAUAAUAAGUUUGAAAAAGAAAAAUUCUAAGUAGGCCCUAAAAAAAACUAAUCUUCAAAUGUCCAAUUGCUCCAUAAUUGCUAUGCCUCCAAGUUUUCAUCCAUGAGAUCUUAAUUUCCAUGCCAUGACUCUAAGCUUUCAUCCAUGAGAUCUUAAUUUCCAAACUCGAUCCAUUACCAUACCUAUAAC